rnacentral:lncRNA from 1 species
AUUUCAACGACGUUUGUUACUUUGUUACAACAAAAGCGCUCUUUUAUCUCUUCUGGAUAAUAUUUAGGCCAAAUGAGAGACAGUCCUGCCCUGACAUGUACCUGAAGAUUUGUAAGAAGCACAAAAAAACAGGAGCAGAUAUGGAUACAUCUCCACCGAAACUUGACCAGGUUUCUCUCAGCCGAUGGGACUCCAGUGGAACCUGCGGCUGCUCUGAGCGUCUUCCUACAGUCAGAGCUUUUAACCCGUCGGAUGGCGGUUAGCGGUGGCCGCAGGUGCUCCCUUUACCUGCACGAAAAACUGGCUGAGCACUCCAGCAAUCCUCAAACACACACACACACACAAUACCCAGACAUCCUUUUGUUCUUCAACACACAGUGAGCUCUGGCGGAGAUAUAAACCUGUCUGUAUCCUAAAAUGAACUGUCUCUCUUUGUCUCUCUCAUAUUAAAAAAUAAAUAAAAAUCAUUCAAUUUCUGUUGUGAAUGAGUGUCCA